AGAAUUUGGGAGAGACUGCUUAAAUGCAGCACCGAAGGGGCAUGCUAGAACUCUCAGGUAAAAACACCGAAUUU
rnacentral:ncRNA from 1 species